AAACGGCCCUAAUAGUUGAACUUAAAUCCCUCAAAAUUGAAAAGAGCACGAACGGCAGAGUUCAUCCCGCCACUAUAGAGAAAUCACUCAAAAUAUGCCGGUUACUGUGAAUCACCGACGCCAUUGGAAGUAUUUGAUUUCAGUUUAUUUCUUUUUCUCACCACUACUUGGAUGUCUCCACUUCCUGUAAGUUUCAAUGAACCCUAACCUUCUAAUCCUAGCUUCAGACUGUUUGAUAUUAUAUUUGUUUGUUAAAACUUGACGAGGGUUUUUAUUUGAAAAUGAGUUGUUGGGGCCUUGGUAUUAUGUUUAUGUGAUUUGUGGGAUUGAAUGUAGCUGGGAAUUGUUUUGGGCGUGCAUUGGGCAGUGGCCAACAAGUUGCUAUUUCACAACAUUUAGGGCCAGAACACGAUUUCAUUAUCGAUUUGGAAUGAUUAGAAUCUAUAGUACGCUUUAGUCACCAAACUUGUAAUCUGUCUACGUGCCUUUAAAUUAUUCUCCCAAUUAUAAUUUUCUCUAAACUAUGCACAAAUGGGAACAUAUAUGUACAUGGUGAACACAAUUCAAUUACUCUGAUUAAAGAUCCUAUUUUACUCUGAGAUGUGUGUACAUGGUGACCCUAUUUACUGCAUAGAUGCUGAAAAAUCCAGUCCACUUUCUCCCGCAAACAAUUUUGCAUCAAGAAACAGAUUCGUAGGCCCAAAAUGUAUCGAGGUCAAGACUGAAGAGAGAAAAAUCUCAGACUUCUAAAUUCGCUAUGUGCCAAUCGACAAACCGAGCUUGAAUUUCCUUGAACAGUAGCAGGAUGGUGGGCAAACGCCACCAUCUCUCAUCCUCCUUGCCAUUACAAAAAAUUGAACUCUCAAUAAUCUAUCACAAAACCUAUAGCGCCUGAGCCUCAGUUCCCAAUAUCCCUUGGGAAUGUUAGGAAGUUUAAGUCAACAAAAUUGAGUAAUCUUAUCUUUGUGAGACUAGAUAGGCUUUUCUUCUACUCUGGUGGCUUUCCUUGUGUAUUAUCAUUCUUAUCUCUGUUCUCUAUAUUUUGAAGUGUAUUUUUCAUUUCAAUCUGGUGAAAGCAGAGUUCCUGCACCGUUAGUUCAUUCUGUGCAUGCUACAGUAACUAUUGGGCUGUUAGAAUGUACUUUGGAAAGUCUUGGGUAUGACUUGUAUAACUUGUUUUAAAUGCUUGGAGAUAAAAUGCCUUUUAUUGGAGGAGGGACUAUUCUCAUUCAUAAAAUGGGAAUAUGAGAUGAUCAUAAAUUAUAGAUAAUUGUAGAGAUUGGUGAAUUCAUUAAUUUAUGCUCAUGUUAGAUUUUUUUAGCAUAUAAAUUUUUGCAGAAGUUUUGCAUGUUAUGUUGGAGUUAUUUCAUUGAUGUUUAUGCUUCAUAGUUUUUGCAAUUUCAAAGGUGUUUAUAAGAAAUUGUUCUGGAAAGUACGUGCUUCGUUUUCAAUUUCAGUUGCUUCUUUACGGUAAUGUAUUCACUGACCAUUUCCAGCAGUGCCAUACAAUGGAAUGAACUAUGGACCAAAUGGAGUUGGAGGGAGUAUCAGAUCAAUCGGGUUCAGAACAAGGUCUACUAUGAUAUUCACACAUUUUGACUAAACUUUUUUCUAGUUGUGUUGCAGCCAAAAUGUUGGUUUAGAAUUUUAUUCAUAAAUAAAUGCCUUGUUGGUAUAUAUGGUCUUUGAACUUAAUUACAAAUAUUCUUGUCAUUUACUAAGAGGUAGUUAAAAUGUGGCUCUAGACACGUCUCUUUUCACCACUGCUCCAACUUUCCUAUAACAAGGUUUUGAGACUAGCCUUUUUGGUUCUCAUUCCAUCUUUAAGUCGUAGUCGUUAAUAUAAUUUUAUAAAUUUCUAGCUAUCAUUCUUAUAAAUUUUAUGGUCUCGUUAUUUUCACAAAUGGACCUUUUGUUUAUGAUAGUGACUAAAGAAUAUUUAUUCCCAUUGCCACUAUUUAUCUAGUCUAGUUUCUCUAUAAAUUGAUCUAUGAUGUCUUGUGGCUAACCUUCGGUUAUGGAUUUGAGUCACAUUGUCAUGGUUUUUAUUUAUUUUUUGAUGCAUAUUCUUCCAUUACUUGAAAUUGGAUUGGGUCAUGAAGUCCAAGAAGCUGCACAAGUAGUAGAGUCAAAAGCACAAGUAGCCAUGACUUGGGUAUGUCUCUUCUAGCAGUUUUUUUGUCUUAUUUUACUUGUUUUGUUGUUUACUCUUAAAUUUUGGACAAGAAUCAUAAUAAAGAGGACCUUACUCGUAAAUUUCAAUAGCCAUAUACACCAAGCUAAGUGAAAUGAAAUUGAUGUUUGUCACUUGGUAUUUAUUUUAUAAAGGUAUACUAUGAUCAAUUACUUUUUUCUUUAUUUUUGGUUCUAGGACUACUCAGUCUCACAGACUAAAAUAAAGCAUAUGGCAUGUAGCAAUUCGGUAUCCACUGACCAUGUUACAAGCUACAAAUCUUUUCCAAAUGCUUGCUUGCCAACAGAAGAUCACCAUGAUUGUGGGAUGUCUUCAAUAUGGGUUGAAUAUUUUGUACUAUUUUAAUAAGUUAUUUUUAGAGUAGUAAUCGAUACUUUUGGUAUAUUGCUAUCAACUUUUUGACUAGGCUAAUGAUGUUCUUAGUAAUCAUUUAGAUUAACUCUACAUUUUGGAAUAUUGUAUUUGAUUGCACUUAAUAUUUUUAUUCAUUCAAAUUAUGGAAAACAUGAUUAUAUUA
rnacentral:lncRNA from 1 species